rnacentral:rRNA from 1 species
AAUGAACGCUGGCGGCAGGCUUAACACAUGCAAGUCGAGCGGGGUGAUGGUGCUUGCACUAUCACUUAGCGGCGGACGGGUGAGUAAUGCUUAGGAAUCUGCCUAUUAGUGGGGGACAACAUCUCGAAAGGGAUGCUAAUACCGCAUACGUCCUACGGGAGAAAGCAGGGGAUCACUUGUGACCUUGCGCUAAUAGAUGAGCCUAAGUCGGAUUAGCUAGUUGGUGGGGUAAAGGCCUACCAAGGCGACGAUCUGUAGCGGGUCUGAGAGGAUGAUCCGCCACACUGGGACUGAGACACGGCCCAGACUCCUACGGGAGGCAGCAGUGGGGAAUAUUGGACAAUGGGGGGAACCCUGAUCCAGCCAUGCCGCGUGUGUGAAGAAGGCCUUAUGGUUGUAAAGCACUUUAAGCGAGGAGGAGGCUCUUUUGGUUAAUACCCAAGAUGAGUGGACGUUACUCGCAGAAUAAGCACCGGCUAACUCUGUGCCAGCCGCCGCCGUAAAAC